CCAGACUCCUACGGGAGGCAGCAGUGGGGGAUAUUGCACAAUGGGGGGAACCCUGAUGCAGCGACGCCGCGUGGGCGAAGAAGUAUUUCGGUAUGUAAAGCCCUAUCAGCAGGGAAGAAGAAAUGACGGUACCUGAGUAAGAAGCACCGGCUAAAUACGUGCCAGCAGCCGCGGUAAUACGUAUGGUGCAAGCGUUAUCCGGAUUUACUGGGUGUAAAGGGAGCGCAGGCGGCACGGCAAGCCUGAUGUGAAAGCCCGCGGCCCAACCGCGGGACUGCAUUGGGAACUACCGGGCUGGAGUGCCGGAGAGGUAGGCGGAAUUCCUAGUGUAGCGGUGAAAUGCGUAGAUAUCAGGAGGAACACCGGUGGCGAAGGCGGCCUGCUGGACUGCAACUGACGUUGAGGCCCGAAAGCGUGGGGAGCAAACAGGAUUAGAUACCCCUGUA
rnacentral:rRNA from 1 species